rnacentral:rRNA from 1 species
GAUGAACGCUAGCGGCAGGCUUAAUACAUGCAAGUCGAGGGGUAACAUGGGUAGCAAUACCUGAUGACGACCGGCAAACGGGUGCGGAACACGUACGCAACCUUCCCAUAACUGGUGAAUAGCCUUUCGAAAGAGAGAUUAAUACACCGUAACAUAACGAGUAGGCAUCUACUUGUUAUUAUAGGCUUCGGCCGGUUUUGGAUGGGCGUGCGCCUGAUUAGGUAGUUGGCGGGGUAACGGCCCACCAAGCCUGCGAUCAGUAACUGGUGUGAGAGCACGACCAGUCACACGGGCACUGAGACACGGGCCCGACUCCUGCGGGAGGCAGCAGUAAGGAAUAUUGGUCAAUGGACGAAAGUCUGAACCAGCCAUGCCGCGUGAAGGAUGAAGGCCCUCUGGGUUGUAAACUUCUUUUAUCUGGGACGAAAAAAGCUCAUUCUUGAGCACUUGACGGUACCAGAGGAAUAAGCACCGGCUAACUCCGUGCCAGCAGCCGCCGUAAAAC